GGUUGGUUCUGCAGGUUUUGAGGCAAGAGAGCUUGUAUGCUAAACUUAAGAAGUGUACAUUUUGUAUAUAUAGACUUGUUUUCCUUAGUUUUGUUGCGAGUGCACAAGGAAUUGAGGUAGAUGAAGAGGAGGUGAAAGCUAUAAAGGUGAUACGGAUCCAAUAGGGCAAAUUUCUAACAAUGGUGUGGAGCAAACUUAUGUCAUUCAAAUGGAUCUAAAAGGAGUUCAAAAUCAUAUUCAUAUGAUCCAUAUAUAUUUGGGGCGUGCUUCAACUCAUAUGGGAUAGAUUUGGUGCAACACUUGCAAUCAUAGGCUUAGGGAGCCUAAUCAAACCUAUGGGCUAAAACUACACAAAGGGAAGCCUAAAGUGAAGAUCAAGUAAGGCUUUUGUGAAGAUUCAGCUUUGUUAUGAUGGGCUUACUAUAUUUUUAUUAUUUAACACUUAUUUUAUUUUAGCUUUGUUUGGGCUUGUAUUAUGGCCAUAUUGUAUCUUUUAAGUUUUAGAGUGUUGGGCCAUGUUUUGGGCUUAUGUUUUAAUACUUAUGUGUUAUUUUAGUGUGUGAUUGGGCUUGGGCCUUACGUGUUUAAGUCAGGUCCAAGAAGAGUGUCUUAGGAUUUUAUUUGUUUUUCUCCUUACUAUAUAAGGAUAAAAAACAAUUGUAAGAGGCAACUUUUAAUCAAAAUUUCAGAAUUCUUCUCAUGCCUUUGGCAUGUAUUGCUUUGAGUGAGAGUGAGGAUUUGCUUUCAUCAAUUACACUAGGAAUCUUGGCUUACUUAUCAACUAUUCGCUGUGGCGUUUGUCAGAUUCUCAUGUAAAUCCUUCGAUCAUUGGUGUUUUAGCUUCUCUAAGUGUGGGGUUGAUACCAACUGACGCGGAACCCUAUGGCACAAGCCUCAAAACCUGCAGAACCAACCUAACAUGCUCAAUAUGUUCGUCGAGAGACCUGCUAUAGAUCAAGAUAUCAUCAAAGUAAACAACUAUAAAUUUUCCUAAUAUCAUCAAAGGACAUAUUGCAUCUCAAUGUCCUAAUAAAAGAGUUAUGAUAGCAACUGCUGAUGGGGGUGUAGUGUAUGAUUCUAAUCAUAGUGAUGAUGAGAUAUAUGCUAAUAUGACUGAAUUGAUUGAUGCUCAUAAUGACUGUGAUGAUUCGGAUGUGUUUAUUGAUAAUGUGUUGCUUGCUGAACGUGGUGAGAUGCUUGUUGCUAGGCGUGCUUUGAAUAUCCAGGUUAAGGAAGAAAGCCUAGAACAACGAGAAAAAAUAUUUCACACUAGGUGUUUGGUUAAUGGAAAAGUGUGUACUCUCAUUAUUGAUGGAGGUAGUUGCACAAAUGUGGCUAGUGUGUAUAUGGUGGAAAAAUUGGGCUUGACUUCUAUUAAACACCCUAAGCCAUAUAGAUUGCAAUGGUUGAAUGAUUGUGGAGAGGUUAGGGUUACACGCCAGAUGGUUAUACCAUUUUCUAUUGGUAGGUACAAGGAUGAGAUCUUGUGUGAUGUGGUACCUAUGCAGGCAAGCCAUAUGUUGUUGGGUAGACCGUGGCAACAUGAUAGAAAGGUGCAACAUGAUGGGUUCAAUAACAAGUACUCCUUCACUCAUGAAGGACAGAAAGUUAUACUCGCUCCUUUAUCACCUCAAGAGGUAUAUGUUGAUCAAAUAAAGAUGCUCGAGAGGGAGAGGGAGGCUUCGACCUUGACCACAAAGGAGAGUGAGAGCUUGAAUUCUGCGGAAAAGAUGAGAGAAAAGAGUGAGUUUGAGGGUAAAGAGGCUGGAAAAGAAUCAAGGCUAGUUCAAGGAGGGAAGGUGGAGAAAGAAAAGGAGAAAGAAGAGGCUAAAGUUCCAAUCUCAACUUCCAUAGAGAUUGAAAUUGAAGAGGAAGUUGUAAUGCAUGAAUCUAAUGUAGUUGUUGUUGAGAAUUCCACCAAUGAACUUAUAGAAGAGGUUGUGAAUGAUGAGGGACAUGGGGAGCACGUGAUUGAUGAGGUGGAGGAGGCGAAUGAGACUGUUUUGGAAGUUGUAGAGGAGAAUGGAUCACAUCCACAAGAUCUUUCUAUGACUAAUAUUUUUAUGCCUAGUUCAUUUGUUCUUGAUGUGCAGGUUGUUGAUGAAAACAUCCAUGACGAAAGUUUUAUCCUAUUUCCACCUAUUCAAAAGGAGGUCUUUGAAGAUACAUGGGUUCCUAAAGCUACCCUUUUUGACAUAAAUAUCAACAAGAUUCGAGGAUGAAUCUUUUCUAAAGAAGGAGAGAAUGAUACGGAUCCAAUAGGGUAAAUUUCUAACAAUGGUGUGGAGCAAACUUAUGUCAUUCAAAUGGAUUUAAAAGGAGUUCAAAAUCAUAUUCAUAUGAUCCAUAUAUAUUUGGGGCGUGCUUCAACUCAUAUGGGACAGAUUUGGUGCAACACUUGCAAUCAUAGGCUUAGGGAGCCUAAUCAAACCUAUGGGCUAAAACUACACAAAGGGAAGCCUAAAGUGAAGAUCAAGUAAGGCUUUUGUG
rnacentral:lncRNA from 1 species